UGGGGAAUAUUGCACAAUGGGGGAAACCCUGAUGCAGCGACGCCGCGUGAAGGAAGAAGUAUUUCGGUAUGUAAACUUCUAUCAGCAGGGAAGAAGAUGACGGUACCUGACUAAGAAGCUCCGGCUAAAUACGUGCCAGCAGCCGCGGUAAUACGUAUGGAGCAAGCGUUAUCCGGAUUUACUGGGUGUAAAGGGAGCGUAGGCGGCAUGGCAAGUCAGAUGUGAAAGCCCGGGGCUCAACCGCGGGACUGCAUUUGAAACUGUUAAGCUGGAGUACCGGAGAGGUAAGUGGAAUUCCUAGUGUAGCGGUGAAAUGCGUAGAUAUUAGGAGGAACACCAGUGGCGAAGGCGGCUUACUGGACGGUAACUGACGCUGAGGCUCGAAAGCGUGGGGAGCAAACAGGAUUAGAUACCCUGGUAGU
rnacentral:rRNA from 1 species